UACGAAGGGGGCUAGCGUUGUUCGGAAUUACUGGGCGUAAAGCGCACGUAGGCGGAUCUUUAAGUCAGGGGUGAAAUCCUGGAGCUCAACUCCAGAACUGCCUUUGAUACUGAGGGUCUUGAGUUCGGGAGAGGUGAGUGGAACUCCGAGUGUAGAGGUGAAAUUCGUAGAUAUUCGGAAGAACACCAGUGGCGAAGGCGACUCACUGGCCCGAUACUGACGCUGAGGCGCGAAAGCGUGGGGAGCAAACAGG
rnacentral:rRNA from 1 species